rnacentral:sRNA from 1 species
AUUCUCGCAGGCGCUCGUGAUAGUCUAAGGCCUUUUA